GCAAGAUGAAAAGCUCGCUAAUAAGCUCUGUUGGGGAGUUCUCAGCCCAGGCCAGAGCUUUGAGGUGAGAAUUAACAAGUCCAGUUUAAAUAGUGCUGCUGGGUUGGACUUUUGUGGCCAGGGAAGGGGUGUGGCUCCUGGCCACACCCAGGAGCCAGUGUGGCCACUGACCCAGCCUCAUCAAUGGCCCUAGGAUCCAGAAUGCUACAAACAAUGGAGCAAGAAUCAGAUCGGGUGUCUGGGCUGGAAUGCAAUGGCGCGAUCUUGGCUCACUGCAACCUCAACCUCCUGGGUUCAAGCGAUUCUCCUGCCUCUGCCUCCUGAGUAGCGAGAUUACAGACAAAGAAUUCAAGACUAAGCUGGGCGUGGUGGCACACACCUGUAGUCUCAGCUACUUGGGAGGCUGGGCAGGAGAAUCACAUGAACCUGGGAGGCGGAGGUUGCAGUGAGCUGAGAUCACGCCACUGCACUCCAGCCUGGCCACAGAGCGAGACUCUGUCUCAAAAAAAAUAAUAAUAAUAAUUCAAGACUAAGAAGAGUGAAGUAUGAAGUAAUUCACCCACAGACACCCAGCUAGUGAGUGGCAGACCUGGAAGACAAACUAGUUCUGUUUGGCAUCAGAAUCUAUGCUGUCAGCCACCUCACCACAUUCAUGUGACAUCUAACAAAGUGGUGCCUUCACCUGCUACUAAGUCUUGCUAGGGCUAGUUCCAGAGCCAAGACUAUGAAGUGGACAAUGAUCUAUGAAGCGCUAAGUGAACAGAUGUCAUGUAAAUAGCUUGGAUCUCUACGUGCAUGUGUGCAUUGUAUAUGUUUAUCAAAGACCUUGUUACAGUGUUUUUAGGCAUGGCUCACUUUAUAAAGGUCAUCACAGUUGGCCAAGCUAUCUCGUAUUCAUUACUCAUUUGAUACUCACACCUGCUCAAUGAUGCUGGUAUCAUUACUCUCCAUAAUGAUUCUCCCAUCAUUUUACAGAUGGGGUUCAGAAAGAUCAGGCGGUAGAUCCAUAGUCACACUCUAGUUAAUUGAUAGGACUGAGAAUCCAAUGCAUGCCCACUGCCUUCUCUUACAAGUCUUGGGGUAUUUGAAUGUAAUUCAGUAAUGACAACCCCUUCUCUGUCCAAAAGGGGUAAAUGGAACAUCAAGCUGUCACAAAGGCUAGGUUGGAGGGCAUGGCUUAUAUCCUUGGGUAGGUAGGCUUACUAAACUUAAACCCUAAAGUUGGACUGACUUAACUACCCAGUCCCAGCAGCUGGAGUGGGACAGGAUACUGGGUCUAUAUGGAGAGGGGUCUGCCCAGAUUAGCUUUAGGAUGCGGAGAAGCAGAGAACUCAUGUUCCUACAAACAGGUUCACUCUCAAGUUAAAGACAAGGAACCAAACUCAGCCUGCCUGCUUCAUUUUUUCAUAUUUGCCAAUCAGAUAAGUCACUUCCACCCCCAGAGAGAUUUAAUAAAGGAGCAGAGAAAGAGUUCUAAUAAAAUUCCCUCCAUAUGGAAGGAAAAAGAGACAUCGGGAGUUACGUUAAUCAUGCUCAUUUCUUAACAGUGCAAAUAUCAAGAGUUAGAAAUUAGAGUUCCUGGCUGGGUGCGGUGGCUCACUCCUGUAAUCCGAGCACUUUGGAAGGCCAAGGCAGGCGGAUUGCUGGAGCUCAGGAGUUCGAGACCAGCCUGGGCAAUGCGGUGAAACCUUGUCUCUACUAAAAUACAAAAAAAAUAGCCAGGCAUGGCAGCGUGCACCUGUAAUCCCAGCUACUCGGGAGGCUAAGGCAGGAGAAUUGCUUGAACAAGGGAGCCAGAGGUUGCAGUGAGCCGAGAUUGCGCCACUGCACUCCAGCCUGGGUGACAGAGCGAGAC